UACGGGGGGGGCAAGCGUUGUUCGGAAUUACUGGGCGUAAAGGGCUCGUAGGCGGCUCCUUAAGUCAGACGUGAAAUCCCUCGGCUUAACCGGGGAACUGCGUCUGAGACUGAAGAGCUUGAAUCCGGGAGAGGGAUGCGGAAUUCCAGGUGUAGCGGUGAAAUGCGUAGAUAUCUGGAGGAACACCGGUGGCGAAGGCGGCAUCCUGGACCGGUAUUGACGCUGAGGAGCGAAAGCCAGGGGAGCGAACAGG
rnacentral:rRNA from 1 species